rnacentral:rRNA from 1 species
UACGAAGGGGGCUAGCGUUGUUCGGAAUCACUGGGCGUAAAGGGCGCGUAGGCGGCUUUAUAAGUCGGGGGUGAAAGCCUGUGGCUCAACCACAGAAUUGCCUUCGAUACUGUAGAGCUUGAGACCGGAAGAGGUAAGUGGAACUGCGAGUGUAGAGGCGAAAUUCGUAGAUAUUCGGAAGAACACCAGUGGCGAAGGCGGCUCACUGGUCCGGUACUGACGCUGAGGUGCGAAAGCGUGGGGAGCAAACAGG